rnacentral:rRNA from 1 species
AGAGUUUGAUCCUGGCUCAGAUUGAACGCUGGCGGCAUGCUUUACACAUGCAAGUCGAACGGCAGCACGGGCUUCGGCCUGGUGGCGAGUGGCGAACGGGUGAGUAAUGCAUCGGAACGUGCCCAUGUCGUGGGGGAUAACGUAGCGAAAGCUACGCUAAUACCGCAUACGCCCUGAGGGGGAAAGCGGGGGAUUCUUCGGAACCUCGCGCGAUUGGAGCGGCCGAUGUCGGAUUAGCUAGUAGGUGAGGUAAAGGCUCACCUAGGCGACGAUCCGUAGCGGGUCUGAGAGGAUGAUCCGCCACACUGGGGCUGAGACACGGCCCAGACUCCUACGGGAGGCAGCAGUGGGGAAUUUUGGACAAUGGGGGCAACCCUGAUCCAGCCAUGCCGCGUGAGUGAAGAAGGCCUUCGGGUUGUAAAGCUCUUUCGGCCGGGAAGAAAUCGGCGACUCUAACAUAGUCGCUGGAUGACGGUACCGGACUAAGAAGCACCGGCUAACUACGUGCCAGCAGCCGCGGUAAUACGUAGGGUGCGAGCGUUAAUCGGAAUUACUGGGCGUAAAGCGUGCGCAGGCGGUUUUGUAAGACAGAUGUGAAAUCCCCGGGCUUAACCUGGGAACUGCGUUUGUGACUGCAAGGCUAGAGUACGGCAGAGGGGGGUGGAAUUCCACGUGUAGCAGUGAAAUGCGUAGAGAUGUGGAGGAACACCGAUGGCGAAGGCAGCCCCCUGGGCCUGUACUGACGCUCAUGCACGAAAGCGUGGGGAGCAAACAGGAUUAGAUACCCUGGUAGUCCACGCCCUAAACGAUGUCGUCUAGUCGUUCGGAGCAGCAAUGCACUGAGUGACGCAUCUAACGCGUGAAGUCGACCGCCUGGGGAGUACGGCCGCAAGGU